ACAGAGCUUCAAAUGACCAAAAUAUCUUAACCAAAUCCUCUCCUCUCUCCUCAUCAUUGCCCAUCGCGAUUUUUGACAACGACCUCUACACCACUAGCAACGCAUCUUCCUCUCCUUACUCUUUCAUCCUUCAUCCUUCCUCACCUCCUUCUUACCUGAUUAUUCUUCCCUAUUCUCACCUCUUUCCUCUCCUUCCUCCUCCUCCUCGAAUCUAGGCUUGCAGCAGGACCACCAAAGUUGGCCUCUUCAAAGCUACUCUCUGCCCCUCCCUCUCCACAUUCCAUCUUGCAAGAUUCAUGUCGGCCUCUUCAAAACUGCAGUUCUAUGCUCUAAAGCUGUUGUAUUCUCUACCAUUUCUUCAGCUGAGAAGGUAAAGUUAUAUUUGCAAAGACUAUGAGAUGUGCAGGUUUACCAUUUCGGCUGCUCCUAAGUUGCUUUAAUGGUUGAAAAGAUUAGAUGAGAAGAAGAAGAUGAUGUUCAUCUUAAUAAGCACCAUCUCGUUCCCUUCCUUCCUUCAAAUUUUCUCUCUCAAUCUUUUUGUCCACCCGUUUGACCUAUCUCAAAUUUUCCACCCUUUUCUUUUCCUCCUCUUACUAUUCCUUUUAUGGACCCUACUAGGGGUUUUUUCUAAUCAAUUACCCGAUCAUGUCAAAUCAAAACCUCAAUAAUUGUUACUUGACUUUUGCUUU